rnacentral:rRNA from 1 species
GGAGGGAUCAUUACCGAGAGAGGGUGCUUCGCGCCCGACCUCCAACCCUUUGUCGAUCAAUACCGCGUUGCCUCGGGGUGGCCCUCGCCGGCGCCCCAGAGGACAUCAAUCAAAACUCUGUCUUCCGUACGUCCGAGUCUGAAUGAUAAUCAAUCAAAACUUUCAACAACGGAUCUCUUGGUUCUGGCAUCGAUGAAGAACGCAGCGAAAUGCGAUAAGUAAUGUGAAUUGCAGAAUUCAGUGAAUCAUCGAAUCUUUGAACGCACAUUGCGCCCCCUGGCAUUCCGGGGGGCAUGCCCGUUCGAGCGUCAUUACACCACUCAAGCCUGGCUUGGUAUUGGGCGUCGGGACCUCCCCGCGCCUUCAUUUCACCGGCUGGACGAUGGAUUCCUCAGCGUUGUGCAUCAAUUCGCUCAGGGAGACCGUCGGCCGCGCCGUAAAAACCUCUCUUCUCAGGUUGACCUCGGAUCGGGUAGGGAUA